AGCUCCAUAUACUUACCUUGAACCCUAGAAAAAAAAAACCAAGAACAAAAAUCCAAAGAAGAAAGAUCUAGAGUUUGUGAGAAAAUUUCCUUCAAUCUUUGAGGUUGUUUCAAGCCUAAAGCUUCUAUUGUGGUGGUUUGUUUGGUGACCAAAGCAACUUGUAAGUAAGGUUUGGGCAACGACGGUGAUCGUAACUGAGACGUUUGACGUCGAUUAUUACUUUUGCUUGACAGAUCGGGAAGGGAUUUGAUCGAGGGCUUUCUUAGCUU